rnacentral:rRNA from 1 species
UGCAUCGAUGAAGAACGCAGCGAAAUGCGAUACNUAGUGUGAAUUGCAGGGCUCAGUGAAUCAUCGAAUCUUUGAAUGCACAUUGCGCUCGCUGGGGGACCACGAGCACGUCUGUCUGAGGAACGGUUCUCAAACCAAAAACCAACCACACACACACAUAUCUCCUGGGCUGUAACAGGCCUCUGGGGGGGGUGGUGUGGGAGGGAGAGUGAGCGUCACGGGCCAGCGAUGGCGCGCGUCGGUCGAAACGUAGGACCCGUGGCCGCCCCGCAUAAGCUGGGUGGGCUCGAAGCCCGAGCCGUGAUGUGGCAGCCUUCCGCAAGGAGGAUUUAAAGCAUCACCGCGAGGGAGUAAACUUCGGCCCGCCGACAACAGCUGGGGAGGCAGCGGGUCACAUUUUCAUUUUGGAGUAGUGUUUUUUCUCUCUGUCACUAGAGAGAGGGGCCUACUUCGGACUCGUUCUCAGAUCAGUCGAGACUACCCGCUGAACUUAAGCAUAUCAAUAAGCGGAG